GAACUGCUGAGGAGUCCCACAAUAGAACGAAACAGCCGUUCAGUGC
rnacentral:hammerhead_ribozyme from 1 species